rnacentral:rRNA from 1 species
UUAGGAAUCUUCCACAAUGGGCGAAAGCCUGAUGGAGCGACGCCGCGUGAGGGAUGAAGGCCUUAGGGUUGUAAACCUCUAAAAGAGGGUCGAUAAUGACGGUACCUCUUGAAUAGCACCGGCUAACUCCGUGCCAGCAGCCGCGGUAAUACGGAGGGUGCAAGCGUUAUCCGGAAUCACUGGGCGUAAAGGGCGCGUAGGCGGUCUGUUAAGUCCGAUGUUAAAUCCCGGGGCUUAACCCCGGAUAAGCGUUGGAUACUGGCAGGCUAGACGGUUGGAGAGGCGAGUGGAAUUACCAGUGUAGCGGUGGAAUGCGUAGAUACUGGUAGGAACACCCAUUGCGAAGGCAGCUCGCUGGACAACACGUGACGCUGAGGCGCGAAAGUGUGGGGAGCAAACC